CCUACGGGAGGCAGCAGUAAGGAAUAUUGGUCAAUGGAGGCAACUCUGAACCAGCCAUGCCGCGUGCAGGAAGAAGGCCCUAUGGGUCGUAAACUGCUUUUGUACCAGAGAAAACCCGAGUACGUGUACUCGGUUGAUAGUAUGGUAAGAAUAAGCAUCGGCUAACUUCGUGCCAGCAGCCGCGGUAAGACGAAGGAUGCAAGCGUUAUCCGGAUUCAUUGGGUUUAAAGGGUGCGUAGGCGGACUGAUAAGUCAGUGGUGAAAUCUCUCAGCUUAACUGAGAAACUGCCAUUGAUACUGUUAGUCUAGAGUAUAGAUGACGUUGGCGGAAUAUGACAUGUAGUGGUGAAAUACUUAGAUAUGUCAUAGAACACCGAUUGCGAAGGCAGCUAACGAAACUAUAAACUGACGCUGAGGCACGAAAGUGCGGGGAUCAAACAGGAUUAGAUACCCUGGUAGUCCGCACCGUAAACGAUGAUUACUCGUUGUUGGCAAUAUGACCGUCGAGCGACCGACGACGAAGACGAGUAAGUAAGUACCGUACCGUUACGGGGUUAGGGUACGGUUCCGGGACCGAACCGGUUACGGAACCGUUACCGAAACGGAAGUUAGGUUACGGACGGUUGGAGGACGUUGCCGACGGACGACGACGAGGGGAGGAGG
rnacentral:rRNA from 1 species